rnacentral:lncRNA from 1 species
GACCACACCUCAUCUUGGGUGUGUUCUAUGCAUUGUUGGGGUCAAUGAUUUAUUCUCAGAGGCAUGUGAAUGAUCAACAAGGGAUCUCUAAUCCUCGUUAUGAGAGGAUGAAUACUCUAAGAUAUGAUUCGGGAAUCUUCGGCCGAAGUAUUGAGCGUAAUAAAGGAAAGCGUUCCUAUACGACUCAAUUGAAUCAUAUAACAUGGAAUAAUCACAUUAGGGGUUUGACAUAAUAUAUCCAUACCCCAAUAAUGUGAUUGAGAGUAUUGUUUUAGAGAAGGAUCGAAUUACAUUGUAAUUCCAACUGGAUAGGUUCUCCGAACAAAUUCUACAUUAGCUUGGUUAGCCAUGAUAUAUGGUUAGAUGUCACUCAUGGCUUUUGAGUUCUUCUAGAUGAUUAAAUAAGUAGUCAUCAAAGAAGAAGGAGAAUUAAAAGUAAGUUUUAAUUCACUAAGUGAUUGGAUUAAAUAUAAUCAAUUGGAUUGGUGCCAAUCACCUCACUACCUUGCUAAUUAGAACCUAAAAUGAUUGUACACUGAUACACUCUUGUAAUGAGACAACUAAUGGAUAAUGGAAUAAAUUAAUUGGAUUAAUUAAGUGUUAUGAUUAAUUAGAAAGUCUAAAGAAAUCAUAGAAGCGAUGAAAGAUCGUUUUUGGACUUAAAGAAAAGUUCGGGUUAAUAUGGGCCCAUUAAGCCCAAACCCAUUGGGCUUUUAUUUAAGCAUAGGAUGACUUGAAAUAAUAAAAGCCCAAAGCCCAAACAACACUAAAGGGGCCGGCCAAAUAAAGGGAAAGGGAGAGAGAGGGAGUCAAAUUGUUGGCUAACUAUCUUUGAGAUAUAAAAGGAACUUUUAGUGAAAAGUUUCAUUAGGGUUUUGUGUGUUCAUUUUGCACAAAAGAAGAAAACAUCUCUCUCUCCAAAAACACACACAAGGCCGGCCACCAUAAGGGAGAAGUAGCUAAUCAUCUUCUCUCCCUUUUGGUUAUUCCUCCAUCCAUCUCACUACACUAGUGGGUGUGGAUCUUUAGAGGUCUUCAACCUUGGAGACUAAAGGAGAACCAAGGAGCACUCAUUCUAGCAAGGUGGAGGAAGCAAGGAGGGAGGCUAGGCUCAAGGAGUUCCAAGAACAAAGAGCUUGGAGGUUGUCAAUCCUUGGUCUCAAGUCUAGAUCAAGAGGUAUAAAACUAUACCUUCACUUUGUUCUUCGAUAAUUUCUUAGAUGCAUCAUAUAUGAACCUAUGCUUCUUAAAGGGGAUUUGCAUGACUAUAGCUUUGAUAUUAUGUGAUAACAUGCUUCCAUUGCUAAUGUAUAUAAAUUUUGAAUUGUAUAUGCAUGCUAGUCACUAGAAAUCCCACAUAAAUCUCAUUAUAUCCCUUCAGGAUCAAGGUGAUCCGGUGCACCUCUUCCCUCUUAUUUCCCCUCAUUUCUUCUCUCCCCAAUUGGUCACUUUCUCUUUCCUUUCUUUCUAAUUGGGCAUCCCGCCCCU